rnacentral:rRNA from 1 species
GACGAACGCUGGCGGCGUGCUUAACACAUGCAAGUCGGACGGAAAGGCCCCUUUGGGGGUACUCGAGUGGCGAACGGGUGAGUAACACGUGAGUAACCUGCCCUUGACUUCGGGAUAACUUCAGGAAACUGGGGCUAAUACCGGAUAGGAAUCCUUGCUGCAUGGUGGGGGUUGGAAAGCUUCGGCGGUUUUGGAUGGACUCGCGGCUUAUCAGCUUGUUGGUGGGGUAGUGGCUUACCAAGGCUUUGACGGGUAGCCGGCCUGAGAGGGCGACCGGCCACAUUGGGACUGAGAUACGGCCCAGACUCCUACGGGAGGCAGCAGUGGGGAAUAUUGCACAAUGGGCGGAAGUCUGAUGCAGCAACGCCGCGUGCGGGAUGACGGCCUUCGGGUUGUAAACCGCUUUCAGCAGGGGCGAAGCUUGUGGUGACGGUACCUGCAGAAGAAGCACCGGCUAACUACGUG